AACGAACGCUGGCGGCAGGCUUAACACAUGCAAGUCGAGCGAGACCUUCGGGUCUAGCGGCGGACGGGUGAGUAACGCGUGGGAACGUGCCUUCUCUACGGAAUAGCCCCGGGAAACUGGGAGUAAUACCGUAUACGCCCUUUGGGGGAAAGAUUUAUCGGAGAAGGAUCGGCCCGCGUUGGAUUAGGUAGUUGGUGGGGUAAUGGCCCACCAAGCCGACGAUCCAUAGCUGGUUUGAGAGGAUGAUCAGCCACACUGGGACUGAGACACGGCCCAGACUCCUACGGGAGGCAGCAGUGGGGAAUCUUAGACAAUGGGGGCAACCCUGAUCUAGCCAUGCCGCGUGAGUGAUGAAGGCCUUAGGGUUGUAAAGCUCUUUCAGCUGGGAAGAUAAUGACGGUACCAGCAGAAGAAGCCCCGGCUAACUCCGUG
rnacentral:rRNA from 1 species